AAACCUUAAUGCUCUCGUUUUAACAGUAUGUUUAUAUACCCUCAAAUAGAAAAACAAAUUAAAUUUCCUACUUAAUUUAUCCAAUUGAUCAACCUCAAAGACAAAGUGAUAUAUUGAAUAUUGCCCUUAUAUGACAUUCUCUAAACGUAUACCGAUAUUCUUGUAGCCGAAAUUCUUAUAGUUUCAAACUACUGCUUUCUCAUGUGUCGUGUUGAGGCUUGCGUUGCAGAGAAUGAGUGCUUCCCACCGAUCAAAAGUCAUCAGACAGGCAUGUGUAGAGUAGAUCAAGGGCAUAUCUUGAAAUGUUCAGAUGAAAGGAGUCUAGUGAUUGUAAUGUGAAAGUGUAAAUAUUACCAAUAAAUGGGACAUGGCCUAAAAGCUUCAGUUUUCAAAUAUUAUUCAACGUACAAAUAAUUUGAACAGAGUCCAGUUUGCAUUCAAUGCAUUGACUGGUCAUCAUGGUUGGCUAUCAUCAAGGUUUUUUCUCCCUCACAUUGGUCUCUUGGGUCGAUUACACAGGAUACUAGAUGGAGGGGUACGGAGGCCUGAGCCGCAGCCUGUGCUUUGGUCCUCUGUCCCAGCCUGCAGAGAGGAUCCUGGCCGCCCUGCGGGCCCAGGCUCUGCCCCCACCCAGAAACAGAAGCAACCACCGCUACAGCCGGCAAGUCGAUGAGGGCUAUGGAACUCAGAGGGAGCACUUGGUGCAGGCUGGCUGGAACACAACUCAGCAUAGGAUGCAAGGCAGGGAAACUGAACGACCUGGCUCGCAAACCCAGCCAUAUUCCUCCUCAUCCUGGCCGAGAACCCCAUCAUACUCAUCCGCGGCCACCAGUUGGGACUCCUCCCAGCAGACAGAUCACUCUCAGAACCCAGACUCCUUUGGCAGUACCUCAAGUAAGACACGGCCGUGCCUUCCCAGCAAAGACUACAACCAGCUCCUGUCCCAGUCUGAUUCCCGCCUCAGGAACCUACCAUACGCGAGCCACACCCUCUCGUCUCCCCAAAGAGCUGUGGUCUUGCCGGCUCCAGGAGGAUCUCAAAGUAAUGGUUGGUCUCUGCACAGGCCUGGCCUGCCUGCUCAGCAAGACACUAGCCCCUGGAAGAGGUGAGCAAGGCAGGGAGGAAUCUGAAAGGUGGUGUCGGUUUACAUUUAUAUUAAAAGCCGAGCCAGUGUAUUUUGCAUGAUUGUGU
rnacentral:lncRNA from 1 species